rnacentral:rRNA from 1 species
GGCCCUUUCGGGGGUACUCGAGUGGCGAACGGGUGAGUAACACGUGGGUGAUCUGCCCUGCACUUUGGGAUAAGCCUGGGAAACUGGGUCUAAUACCGAAUACACCUUGCUGGUUGCAUGGACUGGUGGGGGAAAGCUUUUGCGGUGUGGGAUGGGCCCGCGGCCUAUCAGCUUGUUGGUGGGGUGAUGGCCUACCAAGGCGACGACGGGUAGCCGGCCUGAGAGGGUGACCGGCCACACUGGGACUGAGAUACGGCCCAGACUCCUACGGGAGGCAGCAGUGGGGAAUAUUGCACAAUGGGCGCAAGCCUGAUGCAGCGACGCCGCGUGGGGGAUGACGGCCUUCGGGUUGUAAACCUCUUUCAGCACCGACGAAGCGCAAGUGACGGUAGGUGCAGAAGAAGGACCGGCCAACUACGUGCCAGCAGCCGCGGUAAUACGUAGGGUCCGAGCGUUGUCCGGAAUUACUGGGCGUAAAGAGCUCGUAGGUGGUUUGUCGCGUUGUUCGUGAAAACUCACAGCUUAACUGUGGGCGUGCGGGCGAUACGGGCAGACUAGAGUACUGCAGGGGAGACUGGAAUUCCUGGUGUAGCGGUGGAAUGCGCAGAUAUCAGGAGGAACACCAGUGGCGAAGGCGGGUCUCUGGGCAGUAACUGACGCUGAGGAGCGAAAGCGUGGGGAGCGAACAGGAUUAGAUACCCUGGUAGUCCACGCCGUAAACGGUGGGUACUAGGUGUGGGUUUCCUUCCUUGGGAUCCGUGCCGUAGCUAACGCAUUAAGUACCCCGCCUGGGGAGUACGGCCGCAAGGCUAAAACUCAAAGGAAUUGACGGGGGCCCGCACAAGCGGCGGAGCAUGUGGAUUAAUUCGAUGCAAC